AGUCGUAACAAGGUCUCCGUAGGUGAACCUGCGGAGGGAUCAUUACACAAAUAUGAAGGCGGGCUGGAACCUCUCGGGGUUACAGCCUUGCUGAAUUAUUCACCCUUGUCUUUUGCGUACUUCUUGUUUCCUUGGUGGGUUCGCCCACCACUAGGACAAACAUAAACCUUUUGUAAUUGCAAUCAGCGUCAGUAACAAAUUAAUAAUUACAACUUUCAACAACGGAUCUCUUGGUUCUGGCAUCGAUGAAGAACGCAGCGAAAUGCGAUAAGUAGUGUGAAUUGCAGAAUUCAGUGAAUCAUCGAAUCUUUGAACGCACAUUGCGCCCUUUGGUAUUCCAAAGGGCAUGCCUGUUCGAGCGUCAUUUGUACCCUCAAGCUUUGCUUGGUGUUGGGCGUCUUGUCUCUAGCUUUGCUGGAGACUCGCCUUAAAGUAAUUGGCAGCCGGCCUACUGGUUUCGGAGCGCAGCACAAGUCGCACUCUCUAUCAGCAAAGGUCUAGCAUCCAUUAAGCCUUUUUUUUCAACUUUUGACCUCGGAUCAGGUAGGGAUACCCGCUGAACUUAAGCAUAUCAAUAGAAGUAAAAGUCG
rnacentral:rRNA from 1 species